UACCAUUCAUCCGUGGCAUUGUUUUAUUAGGAACAAGGGACUGAUGACCUCGUAGUCUGGUCCCUUUCCCUCUCUUUUAAACCAACCAACCAUGUAAAAAUCAAAACAAUUCAAGGUCCCAUGAAUACAGAUGGCCGCGUGGUUUGCGGCAUGGAUUGCGUGGACGUCCUCGACAGAGGUUUGAGUCGUCCUUUGGGUAUGGGUGUGUGUGUUGUUCUUAGCAUAAGUUAGUUUAAAGUUAGUUUAAGUAGUGUGUAAUUCUAGGGACCGAUGACCUCAGCAAUAUUGUCCCUUAGGAAUUCACACACAUUUUAAACACAGAUGCAGUUAUUCACUUUAAUUAUCUCUCAGAAAUUAUAUUUCUUUUGUCUGCUCCUAAUAGCUCAGUGUUCUCAAAGCAACCACUGAGUAGUGUAAGAAAGGAACUGCUCUCUCUGUUUAAAAAAAAAAAAAAAGAUCUUUUUCCCCCCAAUAUUCAUAAAUAUAUUUAAAGUUAUUCAUAAACAAUUCUCAUUAUUAUCAGUAGCAGUAAAAUGGCAGUAGUCAAGGAUGGUAUUUAGCUGAGUGGGUAUAGUUUGCAAAUUUUACUAAUUCAAUUAUGGAAGAAAAUAGGAUGCAGUAUCUUUGAUGCCAUUAUAUUCCCGAAAUUUUAAGUGUGAUGUUGGUGGUCAGACAAAGGAGAAAGUGUGAUGGCUAUGAAGUCAUCUGAUGGAAAUUUCAAGUACUGAAAUGACAUGAAGGUAGAUUCUGGGCCUAUAUGUACCGUUCUCCUGCACUAGUAUCAAAGAGGUGUAAGAUUAUUGUGAUACAUGCUAAAGGGAGUACCCAACUUUUAUAGUAGCAUUUUAUACUCUCUCAGAAUGAGAGCAGUUGAAAAACUAAUUAGGCAGAGAGAUAGUGUGGUGGAAAUGCAUGAUACUUGCAUCCAGAAGGAAUUAAUUUCAAAUACCUAUGUUUUUUAUGGUUUCUCUAAAUUGGUCAAUGCAAAUUCCAGGUAGGUCCCUACGAAAAUAACAUGGCUAGCUUUCUUCAUCAUCCUUGUGCUGGGCUCUAAGAACCUCAUCAUCAACAAAUUUAAAAUAGUGUUCUUCCUUCCCUUUUUCUGGUUCUCUAAAAUAUAUUUUAUGCAAAUGUUAUACAGGAUUGGUCAUAAGCAUGGCCAGACAUGUGUAAUGAAAAUGGCACACAAAUACUGUUUUUGUGGUUGGCAGUUCGAUGGUAUUUUAUCCCUGUUAUCUUCAGAAUUUCAAAGAGUGUACUCCAGUUACCACUGGCAAAAGCUUUCUCUUAACUACAGAUUCUAUAAAUAUAGGGACAUUACUGUCUUGCUUGUCCUUACAUUUCUUUGGGACCCAAAAUGGUCUUUCCUAAGGCAGACUUCUACCAUUCUUUUCUUUUUUUCUGUAAAUAAUUCCUGUUAGUAUUUUGGAACUAUGACUUACUUAUUAAACUGAUGAUUCUUUUAUAUUCACACAAUUAUUCUUUCACUAUCCAACCAUUUCUUUUUUACUUAAUACUAGCUUGGCAUCUGAAUUCUUGAUAUUCAUACAACUGCACCACUUUCCUCCAACAGUUUCUUCAAUUUUCCUAUUUGCAGCAUCUGUUAUCUUUCUCAUUGUGAUGUAUGCUUUUAAAACUUUGCAUUUAUUCUCUAGCCAUUCUUGUUCUGCCAUUUUGUACUUUGUGUUACUCUCCUUUUUCAGACGUCUAUAUUCUUUUAAGUCUACUUCAUUUGCUACAUUCUUAUGUUACCUACUGUCAUCUACUGAAUAGCUCAUGUGUUUUCCAAGGUUUCCAGUAUGGUCUUGUCAUUUUGCUUAUUAGAUUCUCUACUGCUGUCACAAUUUCGUCUUUCAAAGCUACACUUAUGGUUUCUAUUGUAUACCUUUGUUCUGUUUCAGUUAGUGCUGCCAGCUGCUCCUUUUGAAACUCUCAGCAACCCCUCAUUCUUUCAACUUAUCCAGUUCUCAUCUCCUUAAUUUCCUUUCUUUCUGCAUUGUUUUCUGUUUUAGCCUACAUUUCAUAACCAAUAAAUUGUAGCCAGCAUCCAAAUGUACCAUUGGAAAUAUUGGCAGUUUGAAGUCUGGCUUAAAAAUAUCUGUCUUACUACCAUAUUACAUAAUUCUUCUGAAAUCUUCCAAUAUCUCCAGGUCUCUACCACAUGCACGAUGUUCUUUCAAGAUUGUUAAAUCAAGUGUCUGCAUUAAAAGUUGUGCUCUGUGAAAAGUUCUGCCAGUCCUUUUCCUGAGCCUGUUUUUUGUUUUUCCUUCUCUUCUCCUUGCUAAUAUCAAAUUUCAGUACCCGAUCAGAAUUUAAUUUUUAUCUUCCUUCAUGGACAACAUAAUUUCUUUUCUCUCAUCAUACAGUCAUUCAAUUUCUUAAUGAGCUGAGAAGCUAGUAGAUAUAUGUACUUUUACAACUGGGUUGGCUUUGUGUCUCGCUUGGCUAUGAUAAUUUAUUCACUAUUCUGUUCUUAAAACAGUAGUUCACUUGCAUUCCUAUUUUCUUAUUCAUUGUUAUACCUACUUCUAAAGUGCCCUUUUUUGAUUUUGUAUUGCUAAGGCUAAUGCCACACUAGGCGAUUUCCUCCACUGACGGUCAACUAUUUUUGUCACGCUGGAAAUGAACUCCAUGUUGCAAACGGAAGCUGGCAUACUGGGUUGUAAUUGUCGCUCCAUUAAAUUACCACACUGGACUGUCACUGUCUAAUGGGCCCGGGCGUGUUUUUGGCAUGGCAAUAAUCUUCAGCAUCCCUGCCACAGUAGACUGCUAUUAUCGCCAUUCACACAGCAACCGCAAGGAUACUGCACUCAGUUCUGUUUUGUCUGUAUGGCAAUGUCCGAAAACUCUGUAAAUGUCAUUCCAAUUGGUCACUUGGGCAAUGAACUGAUAAUAACUGAGGUGGAGGAUUAUCCCUGUCUCAACAACAUAAAAUUGUAAGAUUAUAAAGAUCGUCUGCUGAAGACAGAAGCAUGGAAGAAGGUGUGUGCAGAUGAUGUUGGGACUGAGAAGUGGAACUUGUUAUCACUGGAUGCACAAAAUUCAAUAGGUAAGAUGAUGUAUGUACCUACUUAUAUAUAGGUGCCUGCAAAGUUUCAUGAAAAUCUGCAUAACUUUUGUCUAGACAACUACUAAAAAAGUAAUUUAAUUUUUAUUUUUCCUUCUCCCUCUAAUAGUUUGACAUGCGUACAAACCUGUUGCACCAAAACAAUUUAAUUAACUAUGUUGAAACUUUGCAUGAUUUAAUAUAAUGUUUUAGAGGUAUUUUCAGACUAUUUUCAGUGUUUCAAAAAAGUCAGAAAAAUAAACUCUGAAUUUGUACAAAAUUUUCUUACUAAUAUUUUAAUCCAGUAUUACCUGACGUAAAGCAAAAAUAACAGUUAUGAUGAUACAGCUGAAAAAAUCUAAAACUUAAGGUUUUAUACAAUAAGUUAUUUCAAAAGUUAAAAGGGAAACUACAAAGGGUUGUUUGAAAGAAUGGAAUUCUUGUGAACAUAUUCGUAGCAUUAUGUAUUUAAGUCAGAAACCAAAUAGUGUAACAGAACAAUGUGAACAUGAAAUGUAUCGACUAUUAAUACAACUAAGUACAGCUUAUGACAACAAUGACAUCCACAUCUCCAGAUGUCUAGUUAUCUUUGCCGACUAUGUAUGCAUUUUGCCAAGGAACUGAUCCUUCCACAGAGCAGAAGUAGUUGCAAAACAUACCUCUAAUUUCGCAAAGACAGUUGUUACCUCUUAGUCCUAUGUUUUCCAUAGAUUCCAGAGAACAGGUUAAAGUAUCUUCAAAUCGAUAGCCAUCAUGAUUCUGCACAAAGUUAUGCAGCACGCAACACGUUUUUAUAAUACUUUUAGCCAAGUUAGUAUUAAGAUCUAUGGCCCUGUGGAAAAUUUGCCAUUUGUUAGCUAGGAUAUGAAACAAACAUUCUACUACAGGCAUUGCUCUAAUCAGACUGUAAUUAAACACUCUCUUUCUUGCAAAAGGCCGCAUCAGGUGUUCAUCAAGAGCAAAACCUUCGUCACCUAUAAAUGCAAGAGGCACAGUUUCAUUGUUUGGUUCAUUAGUCAAAGAUUUGGCAUCUGGAAAAGGAAAAUAAGUAUAAAAAUGGUGGAAAAAAUAUGUGUGAUACAUACAGUUGCAGCCUGAAAGAAUUACAAAAAAAUGAAAAGAGUAACAGCACAACAAUACAAAAGAACCAUAUGUCUUCUACAGACAGAUGUUUUUCAUGCAAGAAGCCAUGGAAUUGAGGCAGACCUCAGGAAAUAUGAAUGAUGCUUCUAUUCUUGAGGAUGAUGAAGCGGAAAAGUGUCAUGAAGACAGUGCACCGCCACCUAACACUGCUGCUAAGCUUUCCACUGCUCAAUCAAAUAAAAGGAAACUUCAGAACCCAUUUGAAAAAGAGUUGAUAAGAGUUUUGACACAUAGUUCAACUUGUGCUGUACCACAAAAGGAUUCUGAUGAUGUUUUGACAUCUCUUUUGCCUUACUUAAAAGUAAUGACUACCAGUGAUAAACUAGACUUUCAAAUAGAAACAUUACAAUUAAUAAAAUCUUACAGUUGAAAGAAUGUAGAGAGCAGCAUUACUAAGAAUCCUUCCUAAAUAUUGUGCUGUCAGGUAUGUUGACAUCAACAAACACAACAAGCCAUAUAUCUGAGAGUCCACUCACAUAGUUUUCACCAGUGACUGGACUGCCGAAUGAAGAAUCUAUCUUGUCAUUUGAAGAAGAUUCCAAGUGAUUAGGCAGCUGACAUGAACUUGUAAUGUAAACUCUUUCAUUGUAACCUAGUUUAUGUUAACAUUAUGUUAAGUGUAUGUUCAUGUUCAUAAAUUACUUACUGUAUCUAAUUAAAAAAAUGUACCUCAUUGUUG